ensembl:snoRNA
AGGCUGCGUAUGAUGACAACAUAGUUCAGCAGAAGAUCAGUGGUGAUCACUUUUUCAGUCUUUCGCUCCUAUCUGAUGCAGCCU